rnacentral:misc_RNA from 1 species
GAUGAAGAACGCAGCGAAAUGCGAUAAGUAAUGUGAAUUGCAGAAUUCAGUGAAUCAUCGAAUCUUUGAACGCACAUUGCGCCCCUUGGUAUUCCGAGGGGCAUGCCUGUUCGAGCGUCAUUAUAACCCUCAAGCUCAGCUUGGUGUUGGGGCCUGCUGCACUGGCAGCCCUUAAAAUCAGUGGCGGCGCCAUCUGGCUCUAAGCGUAGUAAUUCUUCUCGCUAUGGAGUCCUGGUGGAUGCUUGCCAUCAACCCCCAAUUUUUCUAUGGUUGACCUCGGAUCAGGUAGGGAUACUCGCUGAACUUAAGCAUAUCAAUAAGCGGAGGA